rnacentral:lncRNA from 1 species
UAUUGUAUAUUUUCUGAUUUACAGCUUUGUUAACCCCUCAUUACCAUAACCUACCUACAUGUUCGAAUUCUCACUAUCAAAAUGUCCCUCCAAAUACCCCAACGGAGUUAGGUAUUCCAAAUCCUAUGUAUGAUGAAGUAGCUAGUUUGGAGUCUAAAGAAACUUCCAAAAAACUGUUAAAUGUCUCCUCCGUAAAAGUUCAGAGAACGAGUGAUAAAUAUGAAAACCUAAACAGAGCCCAAACUUUAGCUGGCGUUCGUUCUAUCAAAGAUGUAUUAAACGACGCAGAACGGUAUAUUAAAGAAGAUAAUAUUCGAAAAAGUAGUGUGAGCGUUUUCAGCUGAUUGUUUUGUCGCAAAUCUUUAGUAACUGCAAAAAAAAAUUUUAAUUUGAAGAGUUUUUGAAAAAGUUGCCCUAUAUACAAAACGAACGUUUUUAGUACAUAUGGUAACUUAUUAUAUAAAGCGGUAAUAACAGCUAUGCAAAAAUUUUUGCAUCAGUCGUAUAAUGCAUCUCGUUUGAAAAGUUUUGCAUCAGAGUCUCUCUUUUGUUACAGAUUUGCCAAAAAAACGUAUUAAAGCA